rnacentral:rRNA from 1 species
GACGAACGCUGGCGGCGUGCUUAACACAUGCAAGUCGAACGGAAAGGCCCCUUUGGGGGUACUCGAGUGGCGAACGGGUGAGUAACACGCGAGUAACCUGCCCUUGACUUCGGGAUAACUUCAGGAAACUGGGGCUAAUACCGGAUAGGAAUCCUUGCUGCAUGGUGGGGGUUGGAAAGCUUCGGCGGUUUUGGAUGGACUCGCGGCUUAUCAGCUUGUUGGUGGGGUAGUGGCUUACCAAGGCUUUGACGGGUAGCCGGCCUGAGAGGGCGACCGGCCACAUUGGGACUGAGAGACGGCCCAGACUCCUACGGGAGGCAGCAGUGGGGAAUAUUGCACAAUGGGCGGAAGCCGGAUGCAGCAACGCCGCGGGCGGGAUGACGGCCUUCGGGUUGUAAACCGCUUUCAGCAGGGGCGAAGCUUGUGGUGACGGUACCUGCAGAAGAAGCACCGGCUAACUACGUG